CUCGCAACGCCAAAAGUUUAGGGGGGAAUGGGUUUUCGUGACAUGGGGCUAUUCAACCUAGAACUCCUUGGGAAGCAUGGGUGGAGGUUUAUGGUUAGCCCAGAUUCAUUAUGCGUCCGGGUGCUGAAGGGUCGAUACUUUCCAGAUUCAGAUUUUUUGCACGCUACAGUGCCGAAGCCAGCUUCUCCAGUUUGGCGGGCAAUUGUGGCAGGACACUAGGCACUUCAGGCGGGUAUGCUCAUGCGUGUUGGUAAUGGAAGAUCUAUCUCCUUUUGGGAGGAUAAGUGGAUUCCAGGUACCAUUAGCAUGUCUCCUAUGUCCAUUAUUAGUCCUACUACUUUACAUACUGUCAAUGAACUCAUUGAUGAAGAAAAUUGGACAUGGAAGACGGAUCUUGUUCGACAAAAUUUUCUCGCUCCGGAUGCAGAAGCUAUCUUGAACAUACCAUUGCGUACCGGAGGUGGGGAUGAUUUCUCUGCUUGGGCUUUUGAAAACUUGGGUGUGUACACUGUCAAGUCGGCGUACCGUGCUCUCGUGAAUCAGAAAGAGCAUAAAGCUCUAGAGGAAGGUACGGCUACCGGUGCCUCAAAAUCUAAACAACAGAUGUGGACAUCUCUGUGGAAGCUCAAAGUUGUGCCUAAGGUCAGAGUUUUUUGGUGGAGAGUUCUUCGCGGGAUCCUCCCCGACGAAGCAACCCUUAAGCACAAACAUAUCAAACCUACAAGCCUAUGCAAUGUAUGCUUGGCCAAAGAGGAGGAUCUUAUGCAUGCACUGGUGACUUGCUCCCAUGCACGCAGAUUCUGGGAUGAAGCGCAAACAUGGUUCGACCUUGGACUUCCACGCCUACAUCCAGCAACAUGGGCGCGCGACAUCUUAUGUUGA
rnacentral:rRNA from 1 species